UGUGUUAGUGGAAGCGUCUGGAAAGGCGCGCGAUACAGGGUGACAGCCCCGUACACAAAAAUGCACAUGCUGUGAGCUCGAUGAGUAGGGCGGGACACGUGGUAUCCUGUCUGAAUAUGGGGGGACCAUCCUCCAAGGCUAAAUACUCCUGACUGACCGAUAGUGAACCAGUACCGUGAGGGAAAGGCGAAAAGAACCCCGGCGAGGGGAGUGAAAAAGAACCUGAAACCGUGUACGUACAAGCAGUGGGAGCACGCUUAGGCGUGUGACUGCGUACCUUUUGUAUAAUGGGUCAGCGACUUAUAUUCUGUAGCAAGGUUAACCGAAUAGGGGAGCCGAAGGGAAACCGAGUCUUAACUGGGCGUUAAGUUGCAGGGUAUAGACCCGAAACCCGGUGAUCUAGCCAUGGGCAGGUUGAAGGUUGGGUAACACUAACUGGAGGACCGAACCGACUAAUGUUGAAAAAUUAGCGGAUGACUUGUGGCUGGGGGUGAAAGGCCAAUCAAACCGGGAGAUAGCUGGUUCUCCCCGAAAGCUAUUUAGGUAGCGCCUCGUGAAUUCAUCUCCGGGGGUAGAGCACUGUUUCGGCAAGGGGGUCAUCCCGACUUACCAACCCGAUGCAAACUGCGAAUACCGGAGAAUGUUAUCACGGGAGACACACGGCGGGUGCUAACGUCCGUCGUGAAGAGGGAAACAACCCAGACCGCCAGCUAAGGUCCCAAAGUCAUGGUUAAGUGGGAAACGAUGUGGGAAGGCCCAGACAGCCAGGAUGUUGGCUUAGAAGCAGCCAUCAUUUAAAGAAAGCGUAAUAGCUCACUGGUCGAGUCGGCCUGCGCGGAAGAUGUAACGGGGCUAAACCAUGCACCGAAGCUGCGGCAGCGACGCUGAUGCGUUGUUGGGUAGGGGAGCGUUCUGUAAGCCUGCGAAGGUGUGCUGUGAGGCAUGCUGGAGGUAUCAGAAGUGCGAAUGCUGACAUAAGUAACGAUAAAGCGGGUGAAAAGCCCGCUCGCCGGAAGACCAAGGGUUCCUGUCCAACGUUAAUCGGGGCAGGGUGAGUCGACCCCUAAGGCGAGGCCGAAAGGCGUAGUCGAUGGGAAACAGGUUAAUAUUCCUGUACUUGGUGUUACUGCGAAGGGGGGACGGAGAAGGCUAUGUUGGCCGGGCGACGGUUGUCCCGGUUUAAGCGUGUAGGCUGGUUUUCCAGGCAAAUCCGGAAAAUCAAGGCUGAGGCGUGAUGACGAGGCACUACGGUGCUGAAGCAACAAAUGCCCUGC
rnacentral:rRNA from 1 species